rnacentral:lncRNA from 1 species
UUUUGAUAAAAUAAAAAAAGAACAACUCAGACUAAGAGAGAAUUAGAGCUUAUAGAAAUAGAUUUUUAUUUUACCCAUAUUCACAAUACAAUAUAUCAAAUAGAGUGACGGAUUCUUCGAGAUUUCGAUUAUUUUCUUAUUACGUCAAGAAUUUUAUUUAAUUUCUUUUAAACCACUAUAUUAUUUCUUAUAUAUAAUGCUAAAGGCUCAGAGUCUAUCCAUCUUGAACAUUUGUUACAAGGUCUCAUUUUUCAAGUUGUAAAUCAUAAUGAUAUUUCUAACCAAAAAUAAAUCAGAAGCUGUUGAACGAAGAGGAAAAAAUGGAGGGACAUCUGAAGUAGGAUCGAAAGGAGAAGAUCAAGGAGAUGAUGAAGAUAAAAAUUUUAUUUUGUUUUUUUUUUUUGUUUUUGCUUUUAUUAAAUCGAAUUGGCGACUUACCAGAAAGCAUUUGAAGGUAAAUUCCAAACUUUACUUACCAUUUAAUUCUUAUGUUAUUAAUGACUAUACAAAUAAAUCAUGUUGUGUUUGCAGGUGGUAAUCCAACCAAUCAAAAACAGGAACUAAUCCUGGUGAGCUCAAAAUUGGUCGCUUUACAACUCGGAUUCUCGGUUGAUGUCUUUGGAGCUCCUAUCUUGUGGUGAUAACGAUGUCACCCACCAUCUUGAUCUAUUUCCGCACCCCCAUGGUCUAUUAUUAAUAUUGCAAGUAUUGUUUGCCACAAGAUGCAUUGUAAAUUAUGAAGCAUAGUGAUGCAUGCUCAUUGUGCAUGAAAAUUCGAGUAAGAGCUCCGUUAAAGAUCUAAAUUGUUUUGCAGACCACUCGUUCUGGCCUUUUUUUUUUUUUUUUUUUUAAAAAAAAGGAAAGAUAUUUACUGAGUUCAAAUUAUGUUGGUAUUAUUAGAAUUAUUAAUUUUUAAAUUUUUUUCUGGGGUAUUUUUAGGAAAGGGGUUUCAUGAGGACUUACUGAAAAGUGCUAGAUGUAGCACCACUCGUAUUUUU